rnacentral:rRNA from 1 species
AUUGAACGCUGGCGGCAGGCCUAACACAUGCAAGUCGAACGGUAACAGGAAGCAGCUUGCUGCUUCGCUGACGAGUGGCGGACGGGUGAGUAAUGUCUGGGAAACUGCCUGAUGGAGGGGGAUAACUACUGGAAACGGUAGCUAAUACCGCAUAACGUCGCAAGACCAAAGAGGGGGACCUUCGGGCCUCUUGCCAUCGGAUGUGCCCAGAUGGGAUUAGCUAGUAGGUGGGGUAACGGCUCACCUAGGCGACGAUCCCUAGCUGGUCUGAGAGGAUGACCAGCCAAGCUGGAACUGGAACACGGUCCAGCACACUACGAGAGGCACCAGUGGCGAAUAUUGCCCGAUGGGCGCAAGCCUGAUGCAGCCAUGCCGCGUGUAUGAAGAAGGCCUUAGGGUUGUAAAGUACUUUCAGCGGGGAGGAAGGGAGUAAAGUUAAUACCUUUGCUAAUUGACGUUACCCGCAGAAGAAGCACCGGCUAACCCCCUG